rnacentral:rRNA from 1 species
UGGGGAAUUUUGGACAAUGGGCGAAAGCCUGAUCCAGCAAUGCCGCGUGUGUGAAGAAGGCCUUCGGGUUGUAAAGCACUUUUGUCCGGAAAGAAAUCCUUGGCUCUAAUACAGUCGGGGGAUGACGGUACCGGAAGAAUAAGCACCGGCUAACUACGUGCCAGCAGCCGCGGUAAUACGUAGGGUGCAAGCGUUAAUCGGAAUUACUGGGCGUAAAGCGUGCGCAGGCGGUUUGCUAAGACCGAUGUGAAAUCCCCGGGCUCAACCUGGGAACUGCAUUGGUGACUGGCAGGCUAGAGUAUGGCAGAGGGGGGUAGAAUUCNCGUGUAGCAGUGAAAUGCGUAGAGAUGUGGAGGAAUACCGAUGGCGAAGGCAGCCCCCUGGGCCAAUACUGACGCUCAUGCACGAAAGCGUGGGAAGCAAACAGGAUUAGAUACCCCUGGUAGUCCACGCCCUAAAACGAUGUCAACUAGUUGUUGGGGGACUUCAAUUUUCCUUAGUAACGUAGCUAACGCGUGAAGUUGACCGCCUGGGGGAGUACGGUCGCAAAGAUUAAAACUCAAAGGAAUUGACGGGGUCAUAGCUGUUUCCU